rnacentral:rRNA from 1 species
AGCGAACGCUGGCGGCAGGCCUAACACAUGCAAGUCGAACGAACCUUUCGGGGUUAGUGGCGGACGGGUGAGUAACACGUGGGAACGUGCCUUUAGGUUCGGAAUAACUCAGGGAAACUUGUGCUAAUACCGAAUGUGCCCUUCGGGGGAAAGAUUAAUCGCCUUUAGAGCGGCCCGCGUCUGAUUAGCUAGUUGGUUGAGGUAAUGGCUCACCAAGGCGACGAUCAGUAGCUGGUCUGAGAGGAUGAUCAGCCACAUUGGGACUGAGACACGGCCCAAACUCCUACGGGAGGCAGCAGUGGGGAAUCUUGCGCAAUGGGCGAAAGCCUGACGCAGCCAUGCCGCGUGAAUGAUGAAGGUCUUAGGAUUGUAAAAUUCUUUCACCGGGGACGAUAAUGACGGUACCCGGAGAAGAAGCCCCGGCUAACUUCUUG